UUCACCCUCAAGUGGUUAAGGCGACAGAUUAGAAUUGCGCGAGCGAGUAUCUGUUUCACUUUGUGAGCGCAGGUUCGAACCCUGCUGGUGUCG